CCUACGGGAGGCAGCAGUGAGGAAUAUUGGUCAAUGGACGAGAGUCUGAACCAGCCAAGUAGCGUGAAGGAUGACUGCCCUAGGGGUGGUAAACUUCUUUUAUAUGGGAAUAAAAUGUUCCACGUGUGGGAUUUUGGAUGUACCAUAUGAAUAAGGAUCGGCUAACUACGUGCCAGCAGACGCGGUAAUACGGAGGAUCCGAGCGUUAUCCGGAUUUAUUGGGUUUAAAGGGAGCGUAGGUGGAUUGUUAAGUCAGUUGUGAAAGUUUGCGGCUCAACCGUAAAAUUGCAGUUGAAACUGGCAGUCUUGAGUACAGUAGAGGUGGGCGGAAUUCGUGGUGUAGCGGUGAAAUGCUUAGAUAUCACGAAGAACUCCGAUUGCGAAGGCAGCUCACUGGACUGCAACUGACACUGAGGCUCGAAAGUGUGGGUAUCAAACAGGAUUAGAUACCCGGGUAGUC
rnacentral:rRNA from 1 species